rnacentral:misc_RNA from 1 species
UAUUCCAGCAGCCGCGGUAAUACGUUCCCGGGUCUUGUACACACCGCCCGUCACACCACGAGAGUUUACAACACCCGAAGCCGGUGGGGUAACCCGCAAGGGAGCUAGCCGUCGAAGGUGGGGUAGAUGAUUGGGGUGAAGUCGUAACAAGGUAGCCGUAUCGGAAGGUGCGGCUGGAUCACCUCCUUUCUAAGGAAAUACCCGGACCCGAUGAGGUUCGGAUAAACGUGGCAGUUUAUCGCUUAACUCGUUGUCAGUUUUGAGAGACUAAUCGUCUUUCAAAAAAACAUGGCUGGUUCUUUUGCUGAAGUCAUUCAGGGAGAGAAUCGUCCGCAAAAAAAACCUGUUUGGUGGCGAUGGCGGAGGGGAACCACGCGUUCCCAUACCGAACACGACCGUUAAGCCCUCCAGCGCCAAUGGUACUUAGACCGCAGGGUCUUGGGAGAGUAGGACGUCGCCAAGCGGGUGCUGCAAAGCGCUCUUUAUUUUGCCGGUUUGCCAACAUUUACUUGUUGAAUGCAUCCCAUAAGCAUGAUAAACUGUUCUUCCUGCCACGUGAGUGGUAAGGGAAACAAACCAUUUGCACCUUGAAAACUGGAUAACGAAAGAAAAGAAUUGCUGAAACAUCCUUAAAGCUGUUUUUAUUGUUGGCG